AAAAAAAAACAGACUCACCCCCUCAUUAUUCUUGGGGACAUUAACACAGCUCAACCACAAACUCCCGAAAUACAUGCAGCACAACGACUGUCCUAUCAGGGAAAAUAACAUUUUAGCCACUGCUAUACUACACAUACCGUGCUAUACCUCUUAAUUCACUUAAUACCAACAUACAGGAAAAACUUAAAUGUGCGAAGCCUACGGUGAAAACAGUGAAAAAGUAGACCAACAAAGCAAAGAUAGAACUUCAAAGCUUUUAGACUACACCGACUGGAGUGUCUUUGAAAAUUCAGUUGGCAGCCUGGAUGAAUGUACGGACACUGUGACAUCCUAUAUCAGUUUCUGUGAAGAGGUGUGUGUGCCAACAAAGUCAUUUUGCAUGUUCAAUAACAACAAUUUGUGGUUCACUGCCAAACUUAAGCAACUUCGCCAGGCUAAGAGGACGCUAUCGAAGUGCGGAUAGAGCCCUGUAUAAUUGCGCUAGAAACCAGUUGACUAAAGAAAUUAUGCAGUAAAGUUCGAAAAACAGUUCACCACUAACCACUCAAAAUCAGACUGGCAUGCAUUACAAUCGCUAACCAAUUAAAGGCGACCAUCCCCCCCAAGCUGAGAACAAUAAAGUCUAGCUGAUGACUUGAACACAUUUUACUGCAGAUUUGAAAAAAAAAACGCCACCCCCCACCCACCCAGCCGCAUGACCGACCACCAUCGCACCUCUGACAACUCCUCCUUCGUUGACCUUCCACGAACACAAGGUGAGACGCAUCUUCAAAGAACAAGAGAUCAACAAAGCAGCAGGCCCAGACCUUGUGUUCCCAUCCUGCCUCAAAGUCUGCGCCGACCAGCUCGCUCCAGUCUUCACACAGAUCUUCAAUAGAUCUCUGGAAUUGUUUGAAGUACCAUCCUGUUUAAAACGCUACAACAUCAUCCCAGUCACCAAGAAACCUGCAAUCUCGGGUCUGAAUGACGAUAGGCCUGUCGCCCUGAUAUUUGUGGUCAUGAAGUCCUUUGAACGCCUUGUGCAGGACUACCUCAAGCGCAUAACAGGUCCCCUGCUGGACCCCCAAACUCCUCUUCUCCAGCUUAGCGUCUCACCUGCUACCUGCCAGUGGAUUUACAGCUUCCUGACGGGCAGGACACAGGAGGUUAGGCUGGGGGACAUCACAUCAUCUACACGCACCACCAGCACUGCGGCGCCCCAAGGUUGUGUCCUCUCUCCGCUGCUCUUCUCUCUCUACACGAACAACUGCACCUCAACGCACUCGGCUGUCAAACUCCUGAAGUUUGCAGACGACACCACAGUCAUCAGCCUCAUCAAAGACGGUGACAAGUCUGUGUAUUGACAGGAAGUGGAGCAGCUGGAGCUGUGGUGCGGCCAACGCAACCUGGAGCUGAACACACUCAAGACUGUAGAGACUGAUGAUCGUGGACUUCAGAAGGCAUCCUUCGCCAGAGCUGCCCCUCACGCUAUUCAACUGCCCUGUGUCUACCAUCGAGAGUUCCUGGGGAAUUAUAGUCUCUCAGGACCUGAAGUGGGAGAUCAACAUCAACUCCAUCCUCAAAAAGGCCCAGCAGAGGAUGUACUUCCUGCGGCUUCUGAGGAAGCACGGCCUGCCACAGGAGCUGUUGAGGAAGUUCUACCCAGCAGUCCUGUGUUCUUCCAUCACAGUCUGAUUUGGUUGCGGCUACAAAAAAGGACAAACUCCGACUGCAACGGACAAUCAAAAGUGCUGAAAAGAUUGUCGGUACCCCCCUACUGGCCCUUGAUGACUUGCACGCUGCCAGAACUAAGACAAGAGCAUGCAAAAUCCUCUUGGACCCUCCACAUCCUGGUCACCACCUCUUCCAGCUCCUUCCUUCAGUGCCCCACCAAGUGUGACCAGAGUGACAGCAGUCUUGGCCCACUCUUCUGGGGAGCUGUUGCUGCUGGGAACUGAGGGGGGGCAUGUCUUUAUUGUUCAGGUCCCUGGCUUCAGAGAGCUCGAAGAGAGGAACAUCAGCCUUGCUGAAGUUGCCAACAGUGUACCAGAUGAUUAUGUAGGGCAUAGAAGUUUAGAACAUGUUGAAGCCCUACAGGAGAACCCGGCUAACCCAAAUCACGUUGCUAUUGGUUAUGGACGAGGUCUUAUUGUCAUCUGGGAUCUUGAGAAACGGUGUGCUAUCCAGCACUUUCCGGCUACUCAGCAACUGGAAAGUGUGUGGUGGACAGAGGACAGAGGUUACAUUCUUAGUUCCCACAGUGAUGGAAGCUAUUGUCGUUGGACAUUUGGGGACGAGGAUGGAAAUGAGGUGGAGAAAUCAGAUAUUCCUUAUGGACAUUUCCCAUGCAAAGCGAUUUCUAAAAUAAUUCAGCUGCAAACAAAGGAGGGGACACCAUUCCUCAUCUUCAGUGGUGGCAUGCCCAGAGCCAGCUUUGGGGACAGGCACUGCAUUACUGUCAUCCAUAAUAAAACACAUGUCGCCUUGGACUUCACCUCCAGGAUCAUUGACUUCUUCGUCAUCAAAGAUGGACAACUGCAUAGUGGGGAUCCGAGCACAUUAGUGGUCUUGGUUGAAGAGGAGUUGGUAGCGAUUGACCUGAAGGAAGAGGGAUGGCCAGUCAUUCAGACACCUUACCUGGUUCCACUCCACAGUUCAGCAAUCACCUGCUCUCACCAUGUCUCUGCUAUCCCUCUCAAACUGUGGGAGAGAAUUCUUGCUGCUGGAGAGCUACAGAAGACAAGUUACUCAAAAAAGCCAUGGCCAAUAACCGGAGGGCAGAACUUGGCCCCAGAUCCUCCACAGAGAGAUCUCUUGCUCACAGGGCAUGAGGAUGGAACUGUGCGCUUCUGGGAUGCCUCAGGAGUCUGUCUGUAUCCCAUGUACAAAUUGAGCACGGCUGGAGUCUUCCACAUAGACACUGACCCCAAUGACAACAUGCAGCAAGGUGCUGAAGGAGAAUGGCCACCAUUCAGAAAGGUUGGCUGCUUUGACCCCUACAGUGAUGAUCCACGGCUUGGUAUUCAGAAGAUCCACCUAUGUAAAUACAGUGGUUAUCUUGCAGUGGCAGGAACAGCUGGACAGAUUCUGGUGCUGGAGCUCAAUGACGAGGCAGCAGAACAGACUGUGGAAGCGAAAGUUGUGGAUUUGCUGCUCGGCCAAGAAGGAUUCCGCUGGAAGGGGCACACACGUCUAGAUUUUCAAGAAGAGCCCGUCCUUUUUGAGGCAGGCUUCCAGCCCUUCUCUCUGGUGCAGUGUCAGCCUCCUGCUGUGGUCACCGCUCUUAGUCUUCACUCAGAGUGGAAGCUGGUUGCUUAUGGCACCAGCCAUGGCUUUGGAUUGUUUGAUUACCAACAGAAAAUGAAUGUAUUCAUCAAAUGCACUCUAAAUCCCAGUGACCAGCUGGCCAUGGAGGGUCCUCUGUCCAGGGUGAAAAGCAUUAAAAAAUCCCUCCGCCAGUCCUUUAGACGAAUCAGGCACAGCAGAGUCUCACUACAGAAACAUCAUGUCAACAACACUGCCAAGCUCCAGGAGGCAAAUGCUCGUUUGGAGGCCGAACUAGAAUUAGCUCCUGUCCAAAGGAAGAUUGAGGCUCGUUCUUCAGAUGAUUCUUUUACUGGUCUGGUGCGCAUACUUUACUUUGCUGACACCUUCCUCUCAGACAGUUCACAUAAUACGCCUUCCCUUUGGGCAGGGACCAAUGGGGGCUGUGUAUAUGUAUUCAUACUCAGUCUUCCUUCUGUCGAGCACAGGAUAGAUGAGCCCAUCACUGCACACCCUGCAAAAGAAAUCCAGCUCAUGCAUCGUGCCCCUGUUGUUGGCCUCGUUGUAUUGGAUGGUCACGGUGCUCCUCUUCCUGAGCCGUUGGAGGUAGCCCAUGACCUUGCUUGUUCACCUGAUACGCAGGGGUCCCAUCACCUUGUUGUUGUAUCUGAGGAACAGUUCAAGGUUUUCACCCUUCCUAAAGUGAGUGCCAAGAUGAAGCUGAAGCUAACAGCCAUGGAUGGCUCCAGAGUACGGCGGGUUGGCGUGGCUUGGUUCGGCAGCAGUCGAUCAGAGGAUUAUGGCGAGAGUGGCCUGGUGGUUUUGACAAAUCAAGGUGACCUUCAUGUGGUAUCACUACCGGGGGUGAAGCUGCAGGUGCAUUUCCCCUGUAUCCGCAAAGAAGAUGUAAGCGGCAUUGCUUCCUGUGUCUUCACAAAACAUGGCCAAGGCUUCUACUUGAUCUCGCCAUCUGAGUUUGAGCGCUUUUCGCUGUCCAGUCGCUUCCUCGUAGAGCCUAGCUGUCUUGUGGAGGUUCCAAUUGAUUUGGGCGCCUCAACUCAAGGUGUACCAAAGCGGGAUGGAUAUUUAUCUGCUCUCAGAGAAACCAGCCAAGAAUGUGAGAAUUCAGAUAGUUCAGCUAGACGUGUUAUGGAGCAUGCUUUGCUGAAUGAUGAGGAAGUGCUACAGGAGAUCCAAAAGUCACUAGAAGGAGACCAAGUUUAGCUGUAACACUAAUUCCCAUUACUUACGAAGAGGAUCUCAGUUCUGAUACCCAGAUGAUUGAACAUACACUCAGCAAAAAACAUGGAAAUCCUGUACCAGCAAUCACCUUUGGCUUUCAGAACCAACACAUUUGCCUCUGUGACUGAUCUACCCAAAGAUUCUCAGCUCCCCUUCUAAUGUCAUACCCUAGUGUUCUGGAGUAGCAUGUGCUGAGAGUACCAGUUCAACAGAGGCCUCACUUAUGUUGACGACAAAAGUUGAAGAAGGAGCACCACCACCUGUGACUGAUAAUCAUAAAAAGACAGAGCCAUUUUAGUCAGUGCUAUCUUUGUUUUUUGUUUUUUUGCAACUCAAAUGCCACAGUAUAUCACAGAGAAAAUUUAAAUUUCCAUUGUCUUACAUUGGCCUUGUUAGUCAUGUGAUGCCUUUUUAUUUAAAUCCCUUUCAAGCCUGUUUAAAAUGUAAUUUUAUGGUGAUAAAGUGGCUCAGUUGCUUUGUUUUACUCUGAUGUCUGCUGCCAGGUCGGCAUUGCCAAUGAGAAUCUGAUAAAGGUUAAAUAAAUAAAUACAUUUGCAUGAGACAGGACUACCCCCCUCAAAAUAGGCUGAUUUCAUCUGGGAACAGUUUUAAACUGUAAAAAAGAAUGCAUAUAAUCUCCUUUAAAUAGGAAAGCCUUAAUCAAUGGCAGCUAGUAUAUGUUACCUUAAAAUGCAUUAAUUUGUUGAGGUACUGGUCAAGUUUUAAGAUUUCACAUACAGGACCUUGUUAUAAUUUUUAUGUUUUAAAAAAUAUAUAUAUCAUUCCUCGUUUUUCAUUUCCUUAAUCUAGUUUAUAGGUUGAACUGAUGUCAUUUGACAAGGAAAUUAUAGUCGUGCACUUCAUGGAUCUCCACUUCCAUGAAUGUUUUAGGGGGAGGAAUAUUAUCAGUGACUUAAAUAGUACCACUGUGCAUGUACACUAACACUCUACUCCUGACCACUUGGUGCAAACUUUGUCAAAUGUCACAAUGACACAACUCUAAUGCAGUUAGCAGUGUUGGACCUGGAGGAGGCAAGAACUUUCUAUUGGGUUUGGGAUUUUGUGCUUUUAUGUAAAACAUUCAAUUCUAGCAAUGUAUAUUGUAAUUCAUGAAUGUGAUUUUUAAGAUAUUGUACUGAAAUCUUUUAUAAUAUAUUCAAUACAUAUGGUGGCUGGGAAGUGCAAAACAAUAGACCAAAUUGUGAGACACUUACAUUUCAGAAAACAAUUUCACAAAAGUUGAAACAAAUUUACAUUUCAGAAAACAAAUUAACAAAAGCCGAAACAAAUUACAAGUGACACAAACUGGAAAGGGAACAUACCAUAUCACAGAUUGAUGUGUAAGAUUCUCACAUGCAUUAUUACGAAUCCCAUGCAUUUUCCUGGAAGGAAACGCCCUGCUCCAAUAUUACUGGCUCCAGGACACGCGCCGCUGCACUAUGAUUGGCUGUUGUAUCCCGGUAGAACACGCCCUGCUGCUUCCAGACAGUAAAAGAAAUAUGAGACUUAACUGUGGCGGCGUAAUUAUAAAUGUCGUUAACCCUAAAGACUGCCAACACUGUGUAACGGGGUCGAAUCCAACUGGACCGGACCAUCGCAUAAAAAUAAGCGUUGCCGACGCACCCCCACACAUUGAGCUAUUGUUUAUAUGGACACCCUAGACAAAAUUUUAUGCUUUACAUACUAUUUAUAUGGCUUGAGCCGAGGCGACGCGACGACUCGCAAACGCGGAAAAGUAUUGUCACAGUGAAGGAAAGCAACUGUUCAUUUUGAUUGAAUGUAAACUGCGACGUUGAAACGCAGUGAAACUGAUAUUAAAAGUUUGAAUCACGGCAAAACCAAUGGCGGACCGAUCCCCAAUAUCUCUUGACCGAUCAGCCACUCAUGGAAGCAGUUGCCAAACCACGCACACUGCGCCAUAGUUCCGUCGGUUUCGGCAGCGUCGUUCGAUGUGGCCCAGCCUUAACCCUAACCCGCCAUAAUCCUAACCUUAACACAUCCUAAACUACUUUAGCCCCAGCCCUAGUCCUAAAACUAACCAUGACAAACACAUAUGCAUAGCCUACCCUCCCCACGAUGCAAGAACCAAUCAUGUUGAAGCGGGGAGCGUCUUGCCAAGAAAGGGCGUGGGAUUCCAAUGCGUCAAUCUGUGAUAUGGUACAUUCCCUUUCCAGUUUGUGUCACUUAAAAUAUGCUUUGGCUUUUGUUAAUUUGUUUCGUGUCUUAUUAAUUUGUUUUAUGAAAUGUAAAAGUGUUUUGGCUUUUGUUAAUUUGUUUUCUGAAAUGUAAUUUUGUUUCGUGUUUUGUUAAUUUGAUUUUAGAAAUGUAAAAGUGUUUCCGCUUUAGUUAAUUUGUUUUCUAAAAUGUAAAUUUGUUUUGAGUUUUGAUCAUUUGUUUUCUAAAAUGUGAAUUUGUUUUGACAUUUGUUAAUUUGUUUUCCGAAAUAUAAAAGUGUUUCAGCUUUUACUUCGUUUUCUAAAAUGUAAAUUUGUUUCAACAUUUGUUAAUUUGAUUUCUGAAAUGCAAAAGUGUUUCAGAAUUUGUUAUAUUGUUUUGCAUUUCCCAGCCACCGUAAAUUUGUGACUCGAUUUGUACCUUUUGGGUCUGUUCUAAGUGGGGCUGACUAGGUUGUACAAAAACAUUUGAGUACUUUGUUUCAAAAUGCUGGAUAUUUUAGUAUCUGCCUGGAAUAUAUUUUUGUAGUGAACUAAUUAAGCCCUUUUUUGUGACAUCACAUUGCAGAUGUGAAUUAUUAUUACAUGCUUUCAUCCCUGA